rnacentral:rRNA from 1 species
GAUGAACGCUGGCGGCAUGCCUAAUACAUGCAAGUCGAGCGAACAGACGAGGAGCUUGCUCCUCUGACGUUAGCGGCGGACGGGUGAGUAACACGUGGAUAACCUACCUAUAAGACUGGGAUAACUUCGGGAAACCGGAGCUAAUACCGGAUAAUAUAUUGAACCGCAUGGUUCAAUAGUGAAAGCCGGUUUUGCUGUCACUUAUAGAUGGAUCCGCGCCGCAUUAGCUAGUUGGUAAGGUAACGGCUUACCAAGGCGACGAUGCGUAGCCGACCUGAGAGGGUGAUCGGCAAAACUGAAACUGAGAAACGGUCCAGACUCCUACGGGAGGCAGCAGUAGGGAAUCUUCCGCAAUGGGCGAAAGCUUGACGGAGCAACGCGGCGUGAGUGAUGAAGGUCUUCGGAUCGUAAAACUCUGUUAUUAGGGAAGAACAAAUGUGUAAGUAACUAUGCACGUCUUGACGGUACCUAAGCAGAAAGCCACGGCUAACUACGU